rnacentral:tRNA from 1 species
GUGCCAUUGAUUGAUAGCUCAGUUGGUUAGAGCGUGGUGCUGAUGACACCAAGGUUGCAGGUUCGAUCCCCAUAUGGAACA